AGUCGAGCGAGCGGAACUAACAGAUUUACUUCGGUAAUGACGUUAGGAAAGCGAGCGGCGGAUGGGUGAGUAACACGUGGGGAACCUGCCCCAUAGUCUGGGAUACCACUUGGAAACAGGUGCUAAUACCGGAUAAGAAAGCAGAUCGCAUGAUCAGCUUUUAAAAGGCGGCGUAAGCUGUCGCUAUGGGAUGGCCCCGCGGUGCAUUAGCUAGUUGGUAAGGUAAAGGCUUACCAAGGCGAUGAUGCAUAGCCGAGUUGAGAGACUGAUCGGCCACAUUGGGACUGAGGCACGGCCCAAACUCCUACGGGAGGCAGCAGUAGGGAAUCUUCCACAAUGGACGCAAGUCUGAUGGAGCAACGCCGCGUGAGUGAAGAAGGUUUUCGGAUCGUAAAGCUCUGUUGUUGGUGAAGAAGGAUAGAGGUAGUAACUGGCCUUUAUUUGACGGUAAUCAACCAGAAAGUCACGGCUAACUACGUGCCAGCAGCCGCGGUAAUACGUAGGUGGCAAGCGUUGUCCGGAUUUAUUGGGCGUAAAGCGAGCGCAGGCGGAAGAAUAAGUCUGAUGUGAAAGCCCUCGGCUUAACCGAGGAACUGCAUCGGAAACUGUUUUUCUUGAGUGCAGAAGAGGAGAGUGGAACUCCAUGUGUAGCGGUGGAAUGCGUAGAUAUAUGGAAGAACACCAGUGGCGAAGGCGGCUCUCUGGUCUGCAACUGACGCUGAGGCUCGAAAGCAUGGGUAGUGAACAGGAUUAGAUACCCUGGUAGUCCACGCCGUAAACGAUGAGUGCUAAGUGUUGGGAGGUUUCCGCCUCUCAGUGCUGCAGCUAACGCAUUAAGCACUCCGCCUGGGG
rnacentral:rRNA from 1 species